UGUGAAUUGUAGCUUCUGGGAAAGGCUUCCUAUUCAUCAAUAUCUCCUGCUGCCUAUCUAGGUAUUUAUUCAGCCUCUAUCACUGAUGUGCCUGAGAACCUAAUAAAGGUGCCUGCACCACCUGCCAGCUAUUGAUAUCAAGUUAGGAAAAUGAAGAUGGAUGGCCUGGGCAGAAAUAUUCAAUUACUUUGUUUCCUUUCCAAAGUGCCUGCUCUGAGAUGGAUGGGCAUUUCUUCUGGUUCUGGAGGCCACCGACUGAGUCUAAAUCAGCAGCGGAACUGGCAUAUACUUAAAAAACUCAGCUCAAACCUUGCAAACUGAAGUGUCUCGGUAAAAGUUUCCCAAAGAUGGGGCAUUGAGAUCCAAGAUUUUACCUUUCUUUCUGUCCAGUUGAGUACAGCUCUGAUGUUUAAACCUGGGAGGGAUGAACAAUCUUCUCUCUCUAAGAACUGUUGAGGUAUUUUGUGGACCUUACCCCUUAUAGCUCAGUGAAAUACCUGAGGACCUCCACAGCUGAAUAGGAUAUUCACAACAGGACCACUCCUUGGAGCUUUGGGGGGAAAUCCAUGACUUUUCUCCACUUACUGGGAGAUUUGAAAGAUCUUUGGAGACUCAGAUUUGUUGGCCUAAAGAAGGGUGUCUGCACCCAAAAGCUCGCAAAAGAACAGUUUCCCCAACUAUUUAGUUGGUCUAAUAAAAGAUAUCACAUUUA